rnacentral:rRNA from 1 species
UACGUAGGUGACAAGCGUUGUCCGGAUUUACUGGGCGUAAAGAGCGCGCAGGCGGUCGAUCAAGUCGAGUGUGAAAGCCCCCGGCUCAACUGGGGAGGGUCACGCGAUACUGAUCGACUGGAAGGCAGGAGAGGGUAGUGGAAUUCCCGGUGUAGUGGUGAAAUGCGUAGAUAUCGGGAGGAACACCAGUGGCGAAGGCGACUACCUGGCCUGUUCGUGACGCUGAGGCGCGAAAGCUAGGGGAGCAAAC